GGAGCGGCGGGGAGGGGCGGGGCUGAGGAGCAGAGCCCCGCGGCGGCCGGAUCGGGCGGGAGUCACGAGCGACUGCCGGGAGGGGCUCGCCGCCCCCAGGCCGGACGGCA
ensembl:miRNA